CUAACUCCACCCACUGCAUAAUUUUGAAAAAAUGCUAAAAAGUUGGCAAGGUCCUGAGAGAGGGGGGUGUAAACUCCUGUCAAUGAUCAGUCCCGAUCUGCAAAUGUAAAUGAGACUCAUGUUCACAGGCACAAGCUAGGAGAGCCCGUUUUAUGACGUAGUUAGGUCCCAAACAGUUGAAUCUACGCCAGCAUCAGCCUUGUAAGGUUCAGGAUGAAUUUAAACAGUAGAUUGUGUGUUGAGUCAUUUUCAACCCAUGAAAAGUAUAAAUGACAUAGCACAGGGACAUCACUAGACAAUUGUGGUUAGUGGGGGUGCAUCUCAUCAAAAGGAAUGCCAUCCAUCUACUAACAACAGGUGCUUUCUUAAACAGCAGUUUAAUUUGUUAUGUGCACUUAGACCUAUUUAUUGCAUUUUUGUCGCCUCCUAUGAAGAAUUUUCGCAUAACCAACGAUCAAGAAAAUAAAGGAUUUGCGUUGUAAUGACUGGCAGUAGGCUAGUUUGCCGUUUCAAACCAGUGUCAGUGUCAGUGACCUGAUUAUACCGAAAUAGGCCUAGGCUACUUCAGAGACCAGAGGGCAAAGUAUGCUAUCUAUCAUUAUUCUAGCUACCUCUUUCACGUACAUCAAUCCUGUAAACUGUAGCCCUACCAUGAUGCAGGCCAGGUAAUUAUCUUCAGCCGUAGCGUAAUAGAGAACAACCGAAAUUAAAUAGCUUGAAACACUGAUGAUGUCGCCACAUGAUUGUUUUUUAUUUGUUUUAGCAUUUUCUACUUCAGUCGAUAGCAAGAUAGAAGAAUUUUGUGAAGACAGAACAUUGCUGUUUUGUGAUGCUAUCAAUUAGAAGCAGAGUAAACUACAGUAGUAAAUUCCUACUCCUUGCAGAGCGUGUUGCACUGCCAAUGGCAACAAUACAGUAGUACAGUAACAAUACUAUGCCUUCCCAUUCUAAAGCGCAUCCUAAACGCAAUGGUGCCAUCGAUGAUUCGACAAUUAUAACUGAUUACUUUUGAUACUGGCAGUUUUAAGCACACUUAUUUGGGAGGGUUAGACAGUACAUUUAGGGGGCUGACACCCCUCAAAUAGGCCUAACGACGCCCCUGACCUAGUGUUAAGAAGACUGGGAAACGCACCGAAUGAAUAGUAAUCGUUCGCCAUUAAAGGUGAAAUUUCCAGUUUUCGUCAAAAAUAAAAAUUAAACCUUCAGUGAUUAAAUCAUUUUGAAAAUGUGAAAAAAUAAUGAUUACCAAAUAUCCUUGUUCAUUCCGUGUGUCUCGAUAAAUUGCUGCAUCACUUUUCGUUGCGUUUUCAGGAAAAUGUAGGCAAAUGAAAUGCCCCAAAUAGAGAAUGAUUGCAAUGAUGCCUUGAGAAGGAAUCAACUCUGUCUUAUUAAAUACAUUACCUAUAUACCAUCACUAUAUUACCGUUUUAAGUCUAGAAACAUCCAACAACAACCAAAAUGCACUUAAUCUAAAUAUUCCCGAAUAGGAAUAUGGAAUAGGGAUAAAUUAGGCGACAACUGAGUUGGCUAGCCUAUUGCUCGAUGCAUCACCAUCGUAGAUUUGUUAAUUGUCUUAGCACAUUCGAUUAUUUACAUUCAUGUCUAAAAGAUGAAAACAAAAACAAAUAUUUUGUCCUGCUUUAUCUACAUUUUGUUAUGCUUUUGAGAAUCAAAUCGGAUUGCGGGUGUGUUAACAAGUUACAAGACUUGAUUUACCGCUCUGCUGUUAUUACUCCUUGACCAUCUCCUGAACCGUGCCUUUCAAGAGCAUGUAUUGAUUUAAUAGGUAGGUGGCAGAUUGAUUUCUGACCGCGUGGCCCCAAGUUUAUUGGUCACACAAGUCCGCUGGGUCUGGUAGGGACUUAAGGGUCUCACGGGUGGCCCGACUCCCACUACAACCGUGUAGUCCACCACACUUUGUUUUUGAAGUGGACUAAAUCUGGAAGAGUGUGCCCACUGCUGCUUCUGGAGUUGGCCUCUUGCCACUUUGUCGGUGAACAUUUAUUUCUCCCAUCAUGGCACAUGGGAGGCUGGUGUGAGGGAGAGACCAUCACUCUUUCAGUUUGAGGGGCCUGCCAGGCACAAAGAGCACACUGUGUGGGUGCCUAAGACAAGCUCUUGCUCUCAGGAUCCUCUCAGAAUGUGCUACCAUUGCCCUGGAUACAGCUCCAA